AUUGAACGCUGGCGGCAGGCCUAACACAUGCAAGUCGAACGAGUGGCGGACGGGUGAGUAAUGUCUGGGAAACUGCCUGAUGGAGGGGGAUAACUACUGGAAACGGUCGCUAAUACCGCAUACCAUAAGAUGUGCCCAGGUGGGAAUAGCUAGUUGGUGGGGAAACGGCUCACAAAGGCGACGAUACCUAGCUGGUCUGCGAGGCUGACCAGCCACAGUGGAACUGAGACACGGUCCAGACUCCUACGGGAGGAAGCAGUGGGGAAUAUUGCACAAUGGGCGCAAGCCUGAUGCAGCCAUGCCGCGUGUAUGAAGAAGGCCUUCGGGUUGUAAAGUACUUUCAGCGGGGAGGCGUUACCCGCAGAAGAAGCACCGGCUAACUCCGUGCCAGCAGCCGCGGUAAUAC
rnacentral:rRNA from 1 species